rnacentral:rRNA from 1 species
GACGAACGCUGGCGGCGUGCUUAACACAUGCAAGUCGAACGGGAUUUAGUAAACGGAAGCCUCGGUGGAAGAUUACUAAUGAGAGUGGCGAACGGGUGAGUAACGCGUGAGCAACCUGCCUAUGACAGUGGGAUAGCCUCGGGAAACCGGGAUUAAUACCGCAUAAAAUCGUAGAAACACAUGUUUCAACGGUCAAAGAUUUAUCGGUCAUAGAUGGGCUCGCGUCUGAUUAGCUAGUUGGUGAGAUAACAGCCCACCAAGGCGACGAUCAGUAGACGGUCUGAGAGGAUGAACGGACACAUUGGAACUGAGACACGGUCCAAACUCCUACGGGAGGCAGCAGUGGGGAAUAUUGCACAAUGGGGGAAACCCUGAUGCAGCGACGCCGCGUGAACGAAGAAGGUAUUCGUAGCGUAAAGUUCUGUACUAUGGGAAGAUAAUGACAGUACCAUAGAAGAAAGCGCCGGCUAAAUACGUG